UUAAGUGUAAAUAUAAAUAUAUAUUUAUAUAUUAAAUAGUUUUAUUAAAUUAAUUAAAGAAAAGAAAGAAAAGAAAGGACAAAAAGAAGAAAAGGAGAAGAAAAUUUCAUUUUCUCUUUUCUUCUUCUUCUUCUCUUCCCUUCACCGCCAAGUUUGAAGACAUCCAAGUUCCCUUUAUUUUUUUUUCUUUUUCCUUCUUCAAUUUGCAGAGAACUUCUAAGAGAGAGUUUGGAAGAAGAAGAGAAAUUUUACUAGAAUUUUUAGGUUGAAGAAGAAGAGGAGAACUCAAGCAAAGUGUAUCAAUGGCUGAAUUUUAGUUCAUUCUGCACAUCACUGGUUUUUAAUUCGGUUUGAACUCUUCAAAAGGAAUUAAGAGGGCAGUUGGUUUUCACUUGAAAUCAGGAGGUCUCUUGUUUUUCUUGUAUUUCAGAGUGUAUCGGUGUAGUUAGAAUCUCUAUUUGGAACAAGUUAAAGAGGUCGCGAUUCUGGAAGUGGUUCUGUUUUGAGGGUUAUAUGUGUUUAUGCACGGGGAAUCAGAUUUAUAUGUCUUCAGGCCGAGAAGAAUUAAACCGAGCUUAUAGACCAAGGAUCUAGCCCAAGACUGUGAGUGACAAAACCAACUUUGAAAUAUUUUCCAUAAUUGUUAUUAUGAUUGAAUGCGAUAAAUGUUUAUUUACGAAGCCAUGAAAGGUAUUUGAAUUUCAUGACUAUUUUCAAGUAUACAUUUGGAGACUAGAUUUCAUAAAGAAAUUUAUGCUAGCACGUAGAUUUUAAAUGUUUGGAAAGUAUUUAAACCACAAUAUUUUAAGCAAAGCAUGAAUUAGUAUGAAGUUUUGUUUUAAGAACUACAAUUUUCCACGAAAGAGCUGAGUAAAGUUCGAGCUUUGUGUAAAAUUUAUAAGCAGGCAUGUUUUAAUAUUUUAUGAUGAUUUAUGAAAUUUUCAUUAACUACAUGACUGAGAUCUUGAGCCUGAGGCUAGAGAUUACCGUGUGCACACUGGUUAGAUUUCGUUGUUGACGUUGAGUGUACUCCGUAACAACGAUGCUGUCGUGAGUGCUGGGCGGGCCCCACUACGACAAAGACGAUGGGAGUGCUGGGUGGGCCCCACUACAUCGUAGUGCUUGUAAACGUUGUUGUACUAGGUGUACCCUACACAACGUAGAUUCGUCAUGUUAGUUAAAAUGCUUCGAUAUACUUGAUAUGCUUUGCUAGAUUUCAAUGAUGAACAUGCUGAGUAUUUAAGGAAGCUAUUCUUACUAUUACACAUUUACAUUUACGACUUGUAUAAACAGAUUUAUAUGUGUAAAGUUUUCACGUGCUCUUAUCUUUAAAUUCAUAGUUUUAAACUGAGUCACUCACUGAGCUUCAUAGCUCACCCUUUCCAAAAUGUUUUACCCAUUUUCCAGGUAGAGAUCGACUUCCCGGUGCCUGAUAGACUGCCUUAGUCUGCGGAAGCUUCAUUAUCGAUUGCCAGUACGUGUUUUGAGUUGGGCAUAGAGUCUGUUGUGUUGUGGUGUAUAUACACCCUUGUACGUUAUAGAUACUCCACAGUUUGUAUAAGCUUUAGGAGCUGUAGUUGUGUAACUUUUGUUGCUUAUAUUUUGAUUAAGGUGUCUUUAGGUUUACUCGUGAAAUCGGUAAAUUUUGAGGUACACUUCAUGUAUGUGUUUGACUAGCUGUGUUUGACUAGCCUAGGAUCCGCUGUGUUUUGUGGCAUGUACAAUAGUUUAUAUACUAGAUUGACAAGUUCAUCACAUGAAAGUUUUAAGCAGAGUCGACAGAUACAGGUAUAGAAAAGCGUUGUUCGUCGGCUUCACGCCAUCUUUCGGUCUAAGGUAGCUGGUAGUCCGGGAGGGGGUGUGACAUUUCUCUUUUCUCUUCUUAGUCUGAUGAAAAUCUAUUUUCUAUAUCAUCUAAAAAGGAGUAAGAAGAAGAGGGGAUGAAAUACCCUCAAAACCCACUUCGCAGUAGACGAAAGAAAGAGGAUUAUCCUGGUACACGAGGAUCCCCACUAUCAGGCAUUGGAUGAGGCCCACGUAGUGGGAAAGGCCUCAAUCACUCAAUCCCAAGUUGGGGGGAAGUCAACCUACUCAUACAAAAGAGCAGAUUGGGAGGAAAAAAGACGGCUCGACUCUCUUUCGGAACAAGCUGGGAUUCAACAACUCUCACUAUCUAGCCUUGGAGGCACUUGCUCAACCAAAGAAAGAACGUCAAGCCAAUCAACCCACAAGAGGAAAGGAGGAAUUCAGUUGCUUGAUCAUUACAUGGGGGUUAGGGCAAUGAAAUGACGGAAUAAAGAAUGAGAAGGAUAGGAAGCCGAAGUACCAACCAUAGGCUUGAAUCCUAGUAGUAGUUAAUGAAACCAGAAGCAUGAAAAGAAACUUAAGGAUUAAUAAUCAGAUUCCCACCCCUUCGAUCAUUCUUUGAAUCUCCGCUCUACUUCAACUAUAUAAAACAACUUAAGGAUUACUAGGAGCCUUUUACA